rnacentral:lncRNA from 1 species
GGUAUUAAUCCUACAUCAAUAUUUUAUUUUGGAGUCAGGGUCUAGGUCUGAUUCCCCGAGGUUUUACCCUCCUUUGGGGCUCCUCACGAGUUAUCUCCAGAAUCCAUUCGAUGGAUAUUCGAAGAUUAAUCGGAAUAGAGUUCUUAAGUUUCAAAUCUGAUAGUUAAUCAUGCAUGAAAGUUUUAGCAUAAUUGUUUAAACGAUUCCGGCAUAA